rnacentral:rRNA from 1 species
AACGAACGCUGGCGGCAGGCCUAACACAUGCAAGUCGAGCGAGACCUUCGGGUCUAGCGGCGGACGGGUUAGUAACGCGUGGGAACGUGCCCUUCUCUGCGGAAUAGCCACUGGAAACGGUGAGUAAUACCGCAUACGCCCUUCGGGGGAAAGAUUUAUCGGAGAAGGAUCGGCCCGCGUUAGAUUAGAUAGUUGGUGGGUAACGGCCUACCAAGUCUACGAUCUAUAGCUGGUUUUAGAGGAUGAUCAGCAACACUGGGACUGAGACACGGCCCAGACUCCUACGGGAGGCAGCAGUGGGGAAUCUUGGCAAUGGGCGCAAGCCUGAUCUAGCCAUGCCGCGUGUGUGAUGAAGGUCUUAGGAUCGUAAAGCACUUUCGCCAGGGAUGAUAAUGACAGUACCUGGUAAAGAAACCCCGGCUAACUCCGUG